rnacentral:rRNA from 1 species
CGAAAGCCUGACGGAGCAAGACCGCGUGGGGGAGGAAUGCCUUAGGGUUGUAAACCCCUUUUAUCUGGGAAGAACAAAAUGACGGUACCAGAUGAAUAAGCCUCGGCUAACUCCGUGCCAGCAGCCGCGGUAAUACGGAGGAGGCAAGCGUUAUCCGGAAUUAUUGGGCGUAAAGCGUCCGCAGGUGGCGAUUCAAGUCUGCUGUCAAAACCCAGGGCUCAACUCUGGUCAGGCAGUGGAAACUACAUAGCUAGAGUUCGGUAGGGGCAAAGGGAAUUCCCGGUGUAGCGGUGAAAUGCGUAGAUUUCGGGAAGAACAUCGGUGGCGAAAGCGCUCUGCUGGGCCGCAACUGACACUCAGGGACGAAAGCUAGGGGAGCG